UCAUUUUAGGCUGUAUGUUACCUUACUGUGACGCAAAUCCUUUAUUUUCAUCAUUUAAGGCUGUAUGUUACCUUACUGCGACAUUUAUCUCUUUUUCAAGUGAGUAAAAAACAUGACAACAUAUUUAAAAAUUACACAAGUAUGCUAUUACAACAGAUACAAAAUUUUGUUGAUAUUUUCAAAAUGAUAUGAUACGUGCACACAGUGAGAUACUUGAUUUAUGAGGUAGCAUGUAACCUUACAGAAUCCUGAUACAGGUUGUUUAUUUUUUAUUGAUACAAAAUACUCUGUGAAUGGUAUUGUGUCAUCAGGCAACUUGAUAAAUUGAAUCUCUUUUAUCAAUAAAACAAACUUUUUAUUAUUAUUAUUUGCUUUUAUGCAAAAAGGAAUCUGCAUUUGUUAUUUGAAUCUCUUGAGUUUGAAUUCCCUCAAAGAAUGGCAUUUUUUUUUAUGAAGAUACAACCUCCAUAAUCUGUCUCGAGUAAAAAUGGAACUGUAUCACCAUACAACUCUGUUCCAUUAUACAAUACAUAGAUUUUUACCUGUUCUAGCUUUACAUAUUAAUAUGUGAACAAUUUUUAUUCCGAAUAUUGUCAUUUUUAUUUGCUCAUUUUUAUUUUCUGCAAACUGAUUUGUAUGUUUGGUUGUACCUGUUUAUAUUGCUUGUUUUGUGUCAGGUUUUUUUUUCAUCAAUGUUUAAAGUCCUGAUAACUGUUACACACAUUGAUGUUAUCAUAGCUGUGGAAUCCUUGGGUUCCUCUCUCAAUACACCUUGUACCUACUGCACCCUAAGACUAGUCUUUGAACUCUAACUGCAUCAGACAUAUGUGAUACAAGGUCAAGCAAAAAUGACAAAAUUUGAUUGAGUUGAGGACUUAGGACUAGCUAUGGCAGUGUAGCCAGCUUUGAUUUGAGUUAAUGACAUAUUUGAGAGUGGAACACAUAGAUUUCUGGGGUAUUUUAUGUAUCUUUAUAAUUCAGUUUUGGAAACUUGAGAUUGAUAUAGGGAAGAAAAGAUUUUUAAAAAGAACAUAUGUAUUUAUAAUCAGGCCAUUAUCAUUGAUAGUUUCACCAGUUUAGCACUGAUAGAUAGUGUAGUUAAACUCUGUAACAAACAGCAAAAAUAGGCCUAUUGUUUAUAUUUAUGGUAUAUGUCUUACUGUUAAAUCUGGAAACUUAAAUACACAAAAGCAUUUGCUGUGUUAAAAGUUUUCCUUUUCUGUUGAAAUAUAGUUAUUGCAAAAUUAAAUAUCUUAACCACAGUUUGUUGUAGUUAUUUUUUUAGGUACCUGUAAUCUGUCAACUAGCUGUUAUAAUGACACCCUCUUUCAAAGAGAUGUCAGUAGAACAAAAAACAACCUUGUUAAUGUCAGGUGACAAAAAAGGGAUUUGGCAAUUUAUGUCAACAGUUGAACUUUGGAAAUGUCUGGUAUAUAUGGAACUUCACUUUUUAUGGUGACUUGUAGUUUACAGUGUAUAACUAGUUCAGAAUAAAAAAUCAAACAAAAAAUAAAUUAAAAGGUAAUAUAGCUAUUGUUUUCCUGUCCUGCAAUUUAGCUUUUACGGUAUUUUGCACAGGUAAUGCAAAUAUAUGUAUAUUAUAGGUGUAUAUUUCUGACUGUAUAACAUUGUUCCAGAUCCAUUUUACUUGUAGUUGUGUAUAUUUUUGUUGAAUUGUGAUUUUUUUGUAUGUUUCCUCAUCAUUCCCAUGCAUUGUAGCACCACAAUAGUGUUUUGUCAUCAUUAAAUCAAUUUAUUUAUGUUAGGUUUAUCAAUACAUCAGAUCAUAGCUUCUAAACACUCCUUGUUCAGUAUGAUCAAGGGAAGUAACUCUCAUGCAAGAUUUGGAGCGAAAUAAUAUCCACUGGUACUGAUUUUUAUUUUUAUUUUUUGUUUUGCUUCAUCUCCAAAUUCUUAUACUUUAAUAGCUGUUCCACUAUUCUGCAAAAAAAAAAAUCAAUAUACAAGCAUUUUGUAGGUGAAAUGCAUCACUAAUUUUUGGGGAAGGACUAUAACUGUUUAUGUCAAGGUUGUUUGGGUAAUAGUAUAUCAUCUCAACAGUUAAUCUUGUCACUCUUUUGGUCUAUCCAAUGAACCAAGUGUGAUAAUGAGCCAAAUGCCUCCAUUAGAAUUUACUAAAAUCUGCUGACAAAUGAUACCUCCAAAAUCAUCAUUGCUUGCCUAAACAUGAUGAUAAUUCUGGUGAUCUACCCGUAUACACCCUGAUAAGUUGAUGAUAGUUGUUUCAGUUCGCAAUAUCAUAUAAAAUUCAGACAGAGAAAAUGUUCACUAAUAUAUACUAUUUUAUUUUGAGUAUGGCCAUGAAAUGAUGGACUAUAAAUUAAGUAUGGUCAGUUGUGAUGACCGGUGUCUUCACAUGAUAUGUCAGUUCUUUGUCAGCACCCUCAUGAGUAUAUGUGGCAGUGUUUACAGCUGUCGGUCUGUUUUAGUGUCGGUAUCUUGAUUUUAAACUCAAUCAUUAAAACAGUACAAUUCAUAAUUAUCAGUCAUGACUCCAGGCAACAAUUGACCAAUCAUACUUGUCAUUUUUCGAUAUAUAUUUGUAAUCAGGAUUACUGGAAUAAAUUACUGAGAACAAUUUUCAUGAAUUGCAAAUAUUCAUGUCUGAUACAGUACCAUUUAUUUAUUUAUACUCUUGCUUCUAUCAGAUCAUCCCAAGAGGUAAAAUAAUCCUUGAUAUUCAUGCAUAUUCUUUUUAAGUUGGGGUUUGACUAGUGUAGUGGAUAAUUACACAUUGUAAUAGCUGAUGGCCUAGAUUUAAUUUUCAGUGAAUCCAUUAUCCUAGUGGUAAAAUCUAGCAUUAAACAUAAGGUUUAAUGUGUUUAUGCAUUGAUCUUAUUAUAUCUCGUUGUAAUUAUAUAUGAUUUACUUAGACCUAUAACAAUUGUUCAUCUGGAUAUGGCCAUCAUAUGCUGAAAUAUGAACUUUUGAAGGGCAAAUGUAACUUUCUUAUCUUUACUCUUUAGAGAGUUCUGUAUUUAGGAGUAGAUAACUCACACAAGAUAUACCCGGUAAUACUCGCAUCGAGUUUGUCAAUACCAAGCAUUUUUCAUCCAUUUGUCACUGAUCUUCACUUUAUUUGAUCGUAUUAUUUAGAGAUUUUUUCCCCUCACAGUCUCAAAGUUGAUUGGUAGACUUACAAUGAUGAGUUCUGUGAGAGUCAAUACCAGUUAUCACUAUGUUUGGGGUGUAGGUACCCUGUUAUACUGAAAUGAUGAGUUCUGUGAGAGUCAAUACCAGUUAUCACUAUGUUUGGGGUGUGUACCAGGUACCCUGUUAUACUGAAAUGAAGACAAAGUAAGGACAUGUUUGUUUUUUAAUGCAAGGUUUUUUCCCAUUUCAUUUUGUUAUUUGUUCAUUUUAUUUCAAUGAAACUUGGAGUUAUUUUCUAAUUUUCCAGAACUGCUCAGGAAUCAAUAAAAAUAAGCAGAAAUAAAUUUCUAAUUACAAUUGUUGUAAAACAAAAAACUUUAAAUGACAGUUUACUUCAAUCUAUUGUACCAGUCAACAGAGGUGUUUUAACCACAACAAAGUGCUUUGCUUUAGAUAAAAAGUCUAGUAGAAUGUGAAGCAAGAAGUUAGAAUGUAAAGCUGAAUACUCAUGGGUUGUGUAUGACCUUAAUAUUCACUGUUUACAUUUGAUAUGUACUGUGUAGGAUGUGAAUUUCCUCCUACAUCAAAAGAAAAUGGAAAAUAUGUCAAUUAAUUUUUGAAGACUACUUCCUCAGAAUUUUAAAAUUUGAAGAGAAGUAUCUAAUGGUGUCUGAGGAUUUUUCUAAGUUAUUAAAAAAAUUAGUCUUGUAUAUACAUGAUGGGAUAUAUAGGAGAUUAUUAUAUAAGACAUAGUCUAUGUCUGUGUGAUACAUAAAAGGGAUGUAUCAGUAAACAUUGAUACCCACAAUUCUCAGAGUAAAUAUUGGUAACCUUUUAGUUAAUAUCAGCUUUCUUUAACUGAUGGUAGAGAAAAUACUUGACAGAAAUGCAAACUUAUAGUAAAUGUAUAUUAAGUUUCGUCUUUUUAAAAAAAGGAAUUGUAACAUUUAAACAAUUUAAUACUUGUGUAAGUGGACCAUUCUUGUCAACCCACACAGUUUGGUUUACAAAAGAAAUCUGUUUAAAAUAUGAACAUUAUGAAAAGAUAAAAAAAAAAGAAUUAUAUAAACUGUAAGUAUCGGAAUUGAUUUCGCUCAAUCAUAGUCAGUUGAAUGCUGGUAAUAGUUGCACUUUCGUAGAAAAUGCUUACUUACCAAAAUUACUGUUAUUAUUUAUAAGGUAUACUAUUCUUGUUCUAAAGGUAUAACAGUAUGAUAUAUAUUGUAGAAGUGAUCUGUUAUUGUUACUCUUAAUGUACAAAACAUGACGUGCCCAGCUCCAAUUGGUAUUGUUAAAGGGAGAUAAUCAAACAUGUUAGUCUGUCCUAUAUUAUAACCAUCAAUUGUGAUAGUCUGAUAGAAACUUCACCUGUAGUCAAUUACUUCCAAGAGAUUGCAGUCAAGGCACUUAUCAUUACAAAAUAAUUAUGUACACAUUUAGCUAUUAGUUAAGAUCAAAUUUCUUAUAAAUAAAGUAAAAAUCAUAUGAACAAAAUGAGUAGAUUUCUCAAAUGACAUAUUCAUAUGUAUUUUCUAUGUUCUCUGAUGAGCACAUAAUUAGUAAAAUAAAUACUUUACAAAAAACAAAAUGCUCAGUGGUAAAUAUAGGAUAGACAAUCGAUUCAGAUUCCAAAGCACAUCUAGUUAUUGAAUCAUUUGAUCUCCCAGACGUAUUUUCCAAAUGUUUUGAAUUUUGUCAAUUUUUUUUAAUUUAUUUUUACAUGAAGCACAGGAGGCAUAGUUUCUCAGACGAAAAAAUUUUUGUCGAGAUAUAGGCUUUCAUUUUAAUGCAAGGCAUUCGAAGAUAUUAAUCUUAGACAAAUGUUUUUCUUCAUUGUUACCUGUUUAUGAAUAUUUAUCAACCUGAAGUUUACCAAGAACUGCCUUUUUUCCUGUUGUUGAUCAGACAAGCAUGAUAAUUCAACCUAUUAUCAGGACUGUUAUAUCUUUACUGUGUCACAUGACUGUUAGUCAAAUCACAUGACUACCAUGUGACAUCAAUGUAUCUUUGCUUGCCCAGAUACUACCAAAAUAGUGUGGUAAGGUCUUAAGACCCUGCAUGGUCUUGAGAGUGUUAAAUUUACCGGACAUUGUAAAGACUGAUUCAUUGUUUCAUUCUGACAUCUAACAGUUUUUAAGUUUUGUAGUUUUAUUGCAUUAAAUUGAAAAAUUAACACUUGU